AUGAGAAAGUGGAAAUCAUACGUGGUGAACUACGAGAAGAAAUGAAUUCGAAAUUGGCAGAUUUUAAGGAGGAGUUGAUUGCUCAAUUUGAAGCAAGAAUGAGGGCAUCCACAUGUGACUUGGCAUCACUCCAAAGAAGAGAAAUGAAUGCAG